UACGGAGGAUCCAAGCGUUAUCCGGAAUCAUUGGGUUUAAAGGGUCCGUAGGCGGUUUGGUAAGUCAGUGGUGAAAGCCCAUCGCUCAACGGUGGAACGGCCAUUGAUACUGCUAGACUUGAAUUAUUAGGAAGUAACUAGAAUAUGUAGUGUAGCGGUGAAAUGCUUAGAGAUUACAUGGAAUACCAAUUGCGAAGGCAGGUUACUACUAAUGGAUUGACGCUGAUGGACGAAAGCGUGGGUAGCGAACAGGAUUAGA
rnacentral:rRNA from 1 species